rnacentral:rRNA from 1 species
UACGUAGGGUCCAAGCGUUGUCCGGAUUUAUUGGGCGUAAAGAGCUCGUAGGCGGCUCGGUAAGUCGGAUGUGAAACCUCCAGGCUCAACCUGGAGUCGCCAUCCGAUACUGCUGUGGCUUGAGUCCGGUAGGGGAGCAUGGAAUUCCUGGUGUAGCGGUGAAAUGCGUAGAUAUCGGGAGGAAUACCAGUGGCGAAGGCGGCCUUCUGGACUAUAACUGACGCUGAGGCGCGAAAGCUAGGGGAGCAAACGGG